rnacentral:misc_RNA from 1 species
GGAAGGAUCAUUAUCACUUUUGGCUUUGUGCCAUUGUCUUCCAACAACUUGUGUCCCAUGUUUUGUUCUCUUGUAUUUACGAUGCUUUCCAAUUUUACAAAUGUCAAUUUUAUAUAACAAAAAUUACAACUCUUAGCAAUGGAUAUCUUGGUUCCCACAACGAUGAAGAACGCAGCGAAAUGCGAUACGUCAUGCGAAUUGCAGAAUUCAGUGAAUCAUUAAAUCUUCGAACGCAAGUUGCUCUGUCGAGAUAUCCUUGACAGAAUGCCUCUUUGAGUAUCGGUUUCUUUCUAUUUGAAAAUGAUUGUCGAUUCGUCGUCAAUUCAAGUUGAAAUUGCGCUGGUCGCUGGCUUUAUGAAAGUAAAACGUUCAGCAUCAGACACAUACAACCUUUACAAAAAAGAUCUCAAAUGAGGUAAGACUACCCGCUGAAUUUAAGCAUAUAAUUAAGCGGAGGAAAAGAAACUAACAAGGAUUCCCUUAGUAACGGCGAGUGAAGCGGGAGGAGCUCAAACCGAAAAUCAGUGUGCUUUGCAUGCCGAAUUGUGGUCUAUUGAAACGUGUCUCAGCUGUUGGUCCAGGCCUAAGUCAAUUGGAACAUUGCAUCAGAGAGGGUGAGAAUCCCGUCUUUGGCUUGGUGUCCGCAGCGUUCGAGCCGUUCUCAAAGAGUCGGGUUGCUUGGGAGUGCAGCCCUAAGUGGGAGGUAAAUUUCUUCUAAAGCUAAAUAUAUGUGGGAGACCGAUAGCGAACAAGUACCGUGAGGGAAAGAUGAAAAGAACUUUGAAAAGAGAGUUAAAAAGUACUUGAAAUUGCUGAGAACGAAGGGAUGGCGACUAGUAUUGGAUUGGGUGAUUCUUUCUGGUUUGGUCGUGGGCACUUGCCGCCGUUCAAUUGGCUUCACGCCUUUGUCGUUGGUGGGUGCGUGCGGUCGCCCAGGUCCUGUCACCCGACCCUAGGUCAGAAUGGAUUUCCUUCGAUUGAAAUGGGCGAACGAAAGGUGGCUUGGGCCUUCACGGGCUCUUGAACAUAUAGACGUUCGUCUUUGGAAUUGUUGGGGAUCGAGGUGCUGAAGUCUGCGCUCUAAGCUGGAGUCUCGCUCGUCUGGGUUGCUGUCGGCUUGGGGGAACGAAUGUUCCGUCUGGUUCGCCAGCGUCCACACCGGGCGUUUCACUACUUGCAGGCUCGGGAUUCUGACGAAAUGGUCGUCAUUCACCCGUCUUGAAACACGGACCAAGGAGUCUUACAUAUAUGCAAGUAAUCAAGUGGAAAACUUGUUUGCGGAUUGAAGGAGAAUGAAUGUGAUUCCGACGUUAAACCUCGGAAGCAACAUCGGGCGGCUAAAACAACUGUACGACCAUGAGCAUAUCUGUAGGGACCCGAAAGAUGGUGAACUAUGCUUGAGCAGGAUGAAGCCAGGGGAAACUCUGGUGGAAGUCCGAAGCGAUACUGACGUGCAAAUCGUUCGUCUGACUUGAGUAUAGGGGCGAAAGACUAAUCGAACUAUCUAGUAGCUGGUUCCCUC